GGAGUUAGGAAAUGUAAGUUUGAGAAUACCAAAUUUACUUGACAAAAGCUCCAAAGGAAGCCACGGCUAACUCUGUGCCAGCAGCCGCGGUAAUACAGAGGUGGCGAGCGUUGUUCGGAAUUAUUGGGCGUAAAGAGCACGUAGGUGGAUUUGUAAGUCAGAUGUGAAAGCCUUCUGUUCAACGGAAGAAUUGCAUCUGAAACUACAAACCUUGAGUAUAGG
rnacentral:rRNA from 1 species